rnacentral:rRNA from 1 species
GACGAACGCUGGCGGCGUGCCUAAUACAUGCAAGUCGAGCGAACCAAUAAGAAGCUUGCUUUUUGUUGGUUAGCGGCGGACGGGUGAGUAACACGUGGGUAACCUGCCUGUAAGACCGGGAUAACUCCGGGAAACCGGUGCUAAUACCGGAUAGAUUAUCUUUCCGCAUGGAGAGAUAAGGAAAGAUGGCUAUUGCCAUCACUAACAGAUGGGCCCGCGGCGCAUUAGCUAGUUGGUGAGGUAACGGCUCACCAAGGCGACGAUGCGUAGCCGACCUGAGAGGGUGAUCGGCCACACUGGGACUGAGACACGGCCCAGACUCCUACGGGAGGCAGCAGUAGGGAAUCUUCCGCAAUGGACGAAAGUCUGACGGAGCAACGCCGCGUGAGCGAAGAAGGUCUUCGGAUUGUAAAGCUCUGUUGUUAGGGAAGAACAAGUAUCGGAGGAAAUGCCGGUACCUUGACGGUACCUGACGAGAAAGCCACGGCUAACUACGUG